AGAGUUUGAUCCUGGCUCAGGACGAACGCUGGCGGCGUGCUUAACACAUGCAAGUGGAGCGACGAACCAGGGCUUGCCCUGGGGCAGAGCCGCGAACGGGUGAGUAACACGUGGGUAACCUACCUCGAUGACCGGGACAACCCGAGGAAACUCGGGCUAAUACCGGAUGUGCUCGAUCCUUGUAAGGGGAUUGAGUAAAGAUAGCUUUCGCCUUCGCAUCGAGACGGGCCCGCGGCCCAUUAGCUUGUUGGUGAGGUAACGGCUCACCAAGGCGACGAUGGGUAGCUGGUCUGAGAGGACGAUCAGCCACACUGGGGCUGAGACACGGCCCAGACUCCUACGGGAGGCAGCAGUGGGGAAUCUUGCGCAAUGGGCGAAAGCCUGACGCAGCAACGCCGCGUGGGGGAAGAAGGCCUUCGGGUUGUAAACCCCUUUCAGUUGGGACGAAGCUUCCAGAGUUAAUAGCUUUGUGGAGUGACGGUACCUUCAGAAGAAGCCCCGGCUAACUACGUGCCAGCAGCCGCGGUAAUACGUAGGGGGCUAGCGUUGUCCGGAAUCAUUGGGCGUAAAGCGCGUGUAGGCGGUCCGGUAAGUCCGCUGUGAAAGUCGGGGGCUCAACCCUCGGAUGCCGGUGGAUACUGUCGGGCUUGAGUACGGAAGAGGCGAGUGGAAUUCCUGGUGUAGCGGUGAAAUGCGCAGAUAUCAGGAGGAACACCAAUUGCGAAGGCAGCUCGCUGGGACGUUACUGACGCUGAGACGCGAAAGCGUGGGGAGCAAACAGGAUUAGAUACCCUGGUAGUCCACGCUGUAAACGAUGGGCACUAGGUGUGGGGGGUGUCGACUCCCUCCGUGCCGAAGCUAACGCAUUAAGUGCCCCGCCUGGGGGAGUACGGCGCAAGGCUAAAACUCAAAGGAAUUGA
rnacentral:rRNA from 1 species